rnacentral:rRNA from 1 species
GAUGAACGCUGGCGGCGUGCUUAACACAUGCAAGUCGAACGGGAAACCUUUUAAUGAAGCUUCGGCAGAUUUAGCUGGUUUCUAGUGGCGGACGGGUGAGUAACGCGUGGGUAACCUGCCUUAUACAGGGGGAUAACAGUCAGAAAUGACUGCUAAUACCGCAUAAGCGCACAGGACCGCAUGGUCCGGUGUGAAAAACUCCGGUGGUAUAAGAUGGACCCGCGUUGGAUUAGCUUGUUGGUGGGGUAACGGCUCACCAAGGCGACGAUCCAUAGCCGGCCUGAGAGGGUGAACGGCCAAAUUGGGACUGAGACACGGCCCAGACUCCUACGGGAGGCAGCAGUGGGGAAUAUUGCACAAUGGGGGAAACCCUGAUGCAGCGACGCCGCGUGAAGGAAGAAGUAUCUCGGUAUGUAAACUUCUAUCAGCAGGGAAGAUAGUGACGGUACCUGACUAAGAAGCCCCGGCUAACUACGUG